UAGCUUGCUAUACGAGGUCAUGGCGGACGGGUGAGUAACGUGUAAAGAACUUACCUUAUAGACUGGGAUAACAGAUAGAAAUGUCUGAUAAUACUAGAUACAAUUACACAGUGGCAUCACUAAGUAAUGAAAGAAUACGCUAUAAGAGAGCUUUGCAUCCCAUUAGCUAGUUGGUAAGGUAAAGGCUUACCAAGGCGAUGAUAGGUAGCCGGCCUGAGAGGGUGGACGGCCACAAGGGGACUGAGAUACGGCCCUUACUCCUACGGGAGGCAGCAGUGGGGAAUAUUGGACAAUGGAGGGAACUCUGAUCCAGCAAUUCUGUGUGUGUGAAGAAGGUCUUCGGAUUGUAAAACACUUUUAGUUGGGAGGAAACAAAUGACGGUACCAACAGAAGAAGCGACGGCUAAAUAC
rnacentral:rRNA from 1 species